CGUGCAGGCGGCCUCUUAAGUCUGGUGUGAAAGCCCGGGGCUUACCCCCGGAAGGGCACUGGAAACUGGGAGGCUAGAGUACCGGAGAGGAGGGUGGAAUUCCUGGUGUAGCGGUGAAAUGCGUAGAUAUCAGGAGGAACACCGGUGGCGAAGGCGGCCCUCUGGACGGAUACUGACGCUGAGACGCGAAAGCGUGGGGAGCAAACAGGAUUAGAUACCCUGGUAGUCCACGCUGUAAACGAUGGGCACUAGGUGUUCGGGGUAUUGACCCCCUGAGUGCCGCAGCUAACGCAUUAAGUGCCCCGCCUGGGGACUACGGCCGCAAGGUUAAA
rnacentral:rRNA from 1 species